AACGUCUCCUCCCCCCGCCCUCAUCCCUAUUGCCGCCGCCGGGUCCUCUCCUCUCCCCAUCGGCGCGAGUGGGCGGGUCGCGGUGUGCGGAAAGCUAGGAGAGGGAGAAGACAGAUGCGUGAGGAGGAGGAGGCCACGGCCGUCGGCUCCUCUCCUCUCCCUGUCAGCGCCAGCGCGCUGGUCGCGGGGAGUGAGGAGAGCGAGGAGAGGGAGGGGGAAGAUCAAUGCGUGAGGAGGAGGACCACGCGGUGGCGCGCCAGCCAAAUCCGAGGCGCGUGGGCGCGGAGGCAGCCGCGGUGGGCUCCGGCCUCUUCUUCACGCACGACGGCAGGAGCAGCUCCACCUCUCCACUCCCCCCACGCGUGAGCCAUCCACAACCCCACCCCCACACCGAGGCAGCGUCCAGAGGCGGUCGGCGGCGGCGCAGGUGAGCUCCCUCCCGCACCCUCCUCUUAUCUCUGCUCGACGGUGCCGUGAGAUCCAUCCCGUGCCUUCCCUCCCCUCGCGUCUCCCUCCCCCACAGCGGCCCUCCCUGUUGAUGGAAUCCAUCUCUUCUACGCUAUUCUUCUUCCCCUUCCCUGCCUCCCCGGUUCUCAAUGAUCCCAUUCCCAUCUAUUUGUACAUAGUAAGCUAGCUCAACCACACAGGCAGCUUGAUUGAUUCCUAUACUAGCAGCAGUACGUUUGUGUCUAGGCGGAACCUCAUGUACGUGUGAUUUCGUGGAGUCAUCUAGCUCUAGAUAGAUGCCACUGGACUCCCAGGUUCUUUCCUGUGUAGGAGCUUACUAAAUUUGUAGUUUGCAACGAAUAAGGCUAAUCCUAACUAGUUGCGCGCGCAGCGCAUAUCUCAGCCGCAGCAGCAACAUAGGAUCUGAGCCAUUUGCAUGUGCAUGCCCCUCUUUCUCUCCUUUUCAUCACCACAGUCUGACACAUGCAUGCAUACAGUGUCCUUCCUCUCUCCUCAAACUUUAUUACUUCUAGUUUUCUUCUCACAGUUUAGAUGAUUCAUAUCUUUAUAAUCAUAAUUUUAUUUCUGGAACUUUUAAUAUAUUUGAACUAUUGACAUUAAGAUCUUUAGAACAAGAUCAGUCUUGGAUAGUUUUUAAACACAUUUUUGUUACCUAAAAGUCUAAAACUGAAAUAUGAUUGUUUAGUAGGUUAUCAGUGUUUUUACUGACGAACUUUGCUGAAAACAGUGAAGAACUUCUCAUUUUUAUUGUAACGUGCAAAAUAAACAGAAUCAGAAGGUGAAGAACUUUUUAAACUGUGGGUUUGCACUUUGUUAGAAAUAUUAAAGAACUUUGCUAGAAAAUGUAUUUGAAACAAAAGAACUUUAUAAACAGCUUGCCUGAACAUUUUUGUGAGGUACAUGAAACUUGUUUGAGCCACAGACAAUCUAAGUUUAUCGAACUUGAUGAAAAUUUUCAAACUAGUUCAAAUAUAUUCAACAUCGGUCUUGUUCUAAAGGUCUUUGCAUCAGAAGUUCAAAUAUGUAAAAAAUAAUAAAGAUGAAAUAUUGGUUUAGAAGGUAUAAAUGAUUUAAGUUUACAAAGAGGUAAUAAAAUAAUGGGUUUGUUUGGGAGAGAGAAGAGAGAGGUACAAGCACUGUUGAUUUGACAUGCAUGUAGGACAGCUGAUUUGACUUGCAUGCAAGAUGGAUGGACUGGAUAUGGGUUGUGCAAGAUGGCUGUUUGGGUGACAUCUCAGAUUCCCUUUAUGCGCCUUGUUCAACUAUGGUUCAAAUUCAUAUCAUAGUUAGUCCUGCUGCAUGAUGGAACUAGGUAAGGUUGUUGUUAUUUUGCUACCUAAUGGGCACAAUCUUUUAAUCUUUUUCGUUUCCAGGUUCUGAUAAAUGAGUGAUGACUAAUGGUUGAUGCAAAGGAGGAGCCGUACUGAUGGAAGUUGGCAGCAAAAUCAGGUGAGACUGGAUAGCCCGUCCCAA
rnacentral:lncRNA from 1 species